CCCUUAGAUGUUCUGGGCCGCACGCGCGCUACACUGAUGAAUUCAACGAGCUCCUAACCUAGGCCGAAGGGUCCGGGUAAUCUUUGAAAUUUCAUCGUGAUGGGGAUAGAUUAUUGCAAUUAUUAAUCUUCAACGAGGAAUUCCUAGUAAGCGCGAGCCAUCAGCUCGCGUUGAUUACGUCCCUGCCCUUUGUACACACCGCCCGUCGCUCCUACCGAUUGAAUGGUCCGGUGAAAUGUUCGGAUCGCGGCAAAUCGGACGGGUAACCGUCAGGUUCGCUGCGAGAAGUUCAUUAAACCUUAUCAUUUAGAGGAAGGAGAAGUCGUAACA
rnacentral:rRNA from 1 species